rnacentral:siRNA from 1 species
CCACCUACCAACCAGACUGGUAAG